AAAAUUAGACCAGCCAACACGUAGGAAAUCUCAACAGAAUAUCCUGUCUUUUUCUUCUCAACAUCGCGGAUCUUGCUCAGAACAUAUAUUUUCUUUAUUAAUCGAGUCAGUGAUGUAUCUCAAGGAAAAUUAGUCAUGAAAGGACUUAUCCCCAUGCAAUAUCACUUCGUCAUCAAGAAAUCGAAGAAAGGAAAUUUCCAUCGCAACGAUUUCUCUUAUGGUAACAAAAAUAAUAUCGGAUUUUGCAGCCUGAAACAAUCGAACCCUCUGCCUUCUUUCUUCAUCUCGGAAGGAAUUGAGAUGACAGAUUUCGUUUUCUCAAGAUUUUCUCUCCUCCCCAAGAACCUAAAGAAAGGAAACAUUCCAUGUGUGAGUAAAUUGCCUCUACUAUAUAAAGGGAUCACAAGGCUCUUUCAAUGGCACGAAUUUUAGCAGUGGAGAUCGACCUCUGCCUUUGUUUUUUUGUCAUUGGGUGUGUUUGGCUGAAAUCCUGGGAUCGUUUGAUCAGAGAUUGAUCGUCAUCCUCCAUAACAGCUAGAAGCCAAAUUCCACACCUUUUGGUAUGUGUUUGACAAAGUGUCUAUGAGAGAGUUAUUCAUUUUGCAACCUUCUUUUUUUGUUGUGUUUCUGACCAGACUUUGAUUUUCAUCUUGCGAUUCAUGUAGCUAACUUCUGGAGUUUAUGUGGGUGGAAUUCUUUGUUGUUGUUGUUUCCCCAAGGAUAUCGACUUCUCUCUUUUUGGCAGGAUUUUUUUUUGAUCGAAGAGCUUAACUUGUCGGCCCAAGCACGACACUUCGAGUGAUUAUACCUUUUGAAGCUCCUUCCUUCUUUGUUGCACCCUUUCCUUUUUGAAUCAAUUGCUUUGAGUGAUGGUCUCAAUCCCUCUUUAAUCCUACGUGACUUGUGCAGGAUACUACUGAUUGGCCUUCUCUCCGGAGCACUUCAUUUUAGCUUUAAUAACAGAGCAAACAAAAGUUUUUGCUAGUUUAUCAUCUGGGAAGGAGCCGUCGGACUGGUUGUUGAUAGCCCUGAACACCCUUUUCUAAAAGUAGAUGAGCUCUGCACAAUCUCGGCAUCCUGAAUUCAGCAGCAAUGCUUGCAGUAUUUUGAAACUCUUCUCCAACAACACGAUAAUCCGGAGUCGAAAAUCUGGGAGCUGAGGCCCGUUUUCUUUUCAGAGAAAGAUGGGACGCGACAUCAGGCGGUGAUUUGUGGAAGAAUUCAGGCUUCGGUUUUGCAGCAGUCAUUGGCUUCUUUUUAGCGGGCGUAGCAGCAGUCGGAACCGGCUUGGAGCGGGGUGGAGUUGAGAGGCUUCUCGCCGGAUUUCAGAAUGUGGGGACCGAAGCGGAGAAAGCAUGACGGCGAACCCUGGCAGCGGUGCGACGUCUAUCCGAGGCAACAACGGCGUCGACAUAUUUUUUUUUAAAAAAAGGAGAGAAGUGGAGAGUGCAGACUCGAUUAUGUUUCUAUGGCGACCUUCAUUUGAGUGCGAGCGUUGGAGAAGCAGGGACAACUUGUGGCAAUCGCCGACUUCUUCGGAAUGGGCGCAGCAGCAGCAGGAACCGGCUUUGAGCACGGAGGGAUGGAGUGGGGUUGUACUCGGUGAGGGAGUUGCUUUGCUUGAUCACAUUCGAGCGUGGAGAGAAGCGGCGGCGGGAGUUGGAGACUUUCUUUAAUGGCUCCUCAAUCAAAUUAUGCAGAUGGAUGACAGCAGCAACAACAUGAUUAUGAUCAACCAUCUGUUUCUCCAUAUUCUCAAAGUUAUCGUGUGCGGCAUUGGUCUCCUGUGGGAUAGCUAUACUCGUCAAGAUUAUGCUGUGACUUUCUUCUUCUUGUUCUUUUUUUUUUUGUAGGAAUUGGUGAUUUUGCACGCAUCCGUUGAGAAGCCGUGGAGUUUUUUCAUACAGGAGUUUUAUAUUGCCCCAACUUCAACUAUUGAUCGAGUGCAUUCAAUCGAGGAAUUUUGCUGAUUUAAAUUGAUCAAGUGCAUGCAACCGAGGAAUUUUAUUGAUACAAAUUCAAGGGACUUCUUCAUUUACUCAUCGGGGCUUCUCAAUAUGGUUUGGAUGAUGUUUAUCUUGCACCUUUAGGUGGUUCUCAAUUGGCUUUUAUUCAGAUUCUGGGUGCGCUCGGAUCUGGGCCAUUGCGAGUUUGACCUUUAAAGAUUGCUUGUUACAUCUUCUCUUGGCGUGCUUCUAUGUGGACUAGAUGACUCAAUUCUUUAAUAGGUCUCGGGUGCGCUCGGACCUAGGAUUGCUCGAGUCUAGUUCCAAUGGAGUUGUUACUUUUGGUGAGCGCGUGCUUCUACUCCACUCCGAGGCAUCAUAAAGGUCAAAGCUCGACGUAUACUUUGGAAGCAAGGCGAAGCCCUCCACAUCGGCGUAUAUUUUGGAAGCAAGGCGAAGCUCUCUAUAUCGAUGUAUACUUUGGAAGCAAGGGGAAGCACUCCGCAUCGACGCAUACUUUGGAAGCAAGGCGAAACACUCCGCAUCGGCGCGUACUUUGGAAGCAAGGCGAAGCACUCCGCAUCGGCGCGUACUUUGGAAGCAAGGUGAAACACUUCGCAUCGGCGCGUACUUCGGAAGCAAGGCGAAGCCCUCCGUAUUGACGCAUACUUUGGAAGCAAGGCGAAGCACUUCGCAUCAGCGCAUACUUCGGAAGCAAGGCGAAGCCCUCCGCAUCGGCUACUUUGGAAGCAAGGCGAAGCCCUCCACAUCGACGCAUAAAGCUCAAAGAUCAAGUUUAAGAAGAUCGAAGACACAACUCUUAAAGGCUACUCAAAGACAUCCAAGAAUCAACUUGAAGAUUGGGGAGAGCUCUUUCGAAGUGUGUUGAAGCUAGAUGUGGAGACGCGGAGUUUAAAUUUGAUCAAGAAAAAGCUUUGAAGGUUUGGACCCGUUUGUCACUUGCCUCUUCACUUGUAUUAUUUCACAACUUUCAAGCAACAUUCAUUGUUUCUUAUGAAUUAAUGUACCAUUUAACUUCAACAA